CAGCUGUCUUCAUACUGUGACCUCCAGGCCACACCUCUACCCUGUCCUUGCCUGUCACAACCUGGCUUUUAGCAGUUGGGGUAGGACAAACUCCCAGCCCUGAAGGAGACAGAGAAGAGGAAAAGGAAAGGAAAACACGAUGGGGGCCAGGCAGUCAAGGGCCAACUCCAAGGACAAGGACCCCAAGCAGAUGCUGCUCCUGGGAAGGAGGAGACAGAAGUUUACUUCGUGGGAUGACACCCUGCUCUUGGGAAAGGACCCACGGUCCCUGCUGAAGCGGGGCAUGCGCCAUGUCAGCUUCAGCCUGGUCACAAAAGGAAUGACAGACAUCCCGGACUUUCUGUGGGGCUUAGCUGAGGUCCAGAAACUCAAUCUGUCUCACAACCAGCUCCGAGUCCUCCCUCCUGAGGUGGGAAAGCUGACUCGGAUCGUGGUCCUGAACUUGUGUGGGAACCGCCUGAGGAGUCUACCCAAAGAAAUCAGCCUUCUUCAGAGCCUCAAGGUCCUGUUCGUGAACAUGAACCGCCUGACCGAGGUGCCGCCCGAGCUCAGCCUCUGCAGAAACCUGGAAGUGCUGAGUGUGUCGCACAACUGCCUGUCCCAGCUGCCCGCCAGCUUGGCUGACCUGUCCAGAUUGCGGAAGCUGAACCUCAGCAACAACUGUUUCGUGCACAUCCCUCUCUGUGUGUUCUCCCUGAAGGAGCUCGAUUUCCUGCACGUGGGCUCGAAUCGCCUGGAAAACAUCGCUGAGAGCAUCCAGUGCCUGGCCAGCCUGCAGAUCUUCAUCGCAGAGAGCAAUAACAUCCACUCCUUCCCACGGUCACUCUGCCUCGUCACAAGCCUGGAGCUGCUGAACUUAAACUACAACGACAUCCAGACCCUCCCGGAUGAGCUCUACCUGCUGUGUAGACUCAGGAGGAUCGCGUGGAAUCCCAUGAAUAAGGGGCUCCACAUUUCCCAUAACCCUCUCUCCAAACCCCUACCGGAGCUGGUGGAGGGGGGUCUGGAGAUGCUCUUUAGCUACCUGAAGGACAAAAAGCACAGCUGACGUGGACCUCAGAGGCGUGCACAGGAGCCUGGACUCAGUCAGCCGGUCUGCACACGGGACUGGGAACCUGAAAGGAAAGACAUCGUGUUCCUUCUGCCAAGGACCUCACAGUUUGGUGACGGAGACAGGAAUACAUGGGUUUUUACCAUGUGCAGCAAACCAUGUUCCAUGCUGGAGGGAGCUACACACAGAAGGUUGAGGACUUCUGGAAUCAGAGCACUGAAGAUGACUGCACUGGCUGUGGAGGAUACUUUGUGGAAGAAUACAGGCUAAUUGGUGCUUGAUGUGUGCGGGGAGCUCACUGCUCCCAUCUUUGAUGAUGUUGUGGUUUUCAAGUCCCUGUGCUCCGGGCGGAGAGGGAUGUCUGUGUGUGUUCAGAAAUACCUUUCAAGGCAGUUGCCGCAUAUAAGCACCCGAUUAAGCAAAAACCCUCCGUUCCUAAGAAAGGAAGAAGGCUGAAAAGACAUCUGUUCAAGGAAUAAUACUGCUAAAUGCAUAAUACUGCUAAAUGCAUAAUACUGCUGCAUAAUUAAAAGGAAAAACAUCAUCAUUACCUAGCUUGUUGACUUAGUAUGCGGUUAAUGAAAAUAAAAGCAAUGUGCUCCAUCCUCAGGCUUUGGUUAAUAGAUUGCCUUUCUGUAGUAACCAUAAAUAGAGUGGCUUCAGGAUCACACACCUGGAUUUCACAACGAAGUCAUGCCUGCACUGGGAAAGAGAGAAUACUGUCAUAAUUUGUAGGGACAGAUGAAAAGAAACUCUUUUCUUCUGGCAGUGGAUUAUUGCAUUUUGGAAUUCCAUCUCAUAUGUCCCUCAAAGCACCUACCAAGCAUGCAUUUUGAUAUCCAAGCGCAGGAAAAAGGGUUAGA